CGAGCCUCUUGAGUAUGGCGACUUUGAUUAAAGAAACUUUAGCUGCUACCCUAACCAUGUUAUGUAAAACCAAAUACAAAGACACUUUCUUUGGGGUAUUACUAUGGAAAAGAAAAAAAGUAAAAGAAAUGUCACUUUGUUAGUUGGCAAAAGGUGAUUAAGAGUAAGAAGGAAGGGGGUUCAGGCCUUUACAAUGCUAGCGCUUCGUUGUAACUCAGUAGAGAAAUGAAGGCCCGGAGUUUCUUCAAUUGAAACAAAAAUUGAGACGAAAGGGUUCUUAUUGACAGUACAAAACACAAAAACAGAGAAAUGAAGAUGAAGAAGGAAACCCUAAAAUUGUCAAAAUCAACAGCAGCUUCUUCCGGAGCAGAGAUGAUAAAUUGAUAAUGUUGUCGAAGGAUGUGAUGAUGGACAUCUUCUCAAGGCUACGGGCAAAGACAUUGUGCAUGUUAAGGUGCGUUUGCAAAGAAUGGAGAAGCUUAAUCUCUGACCCAUUUUUCAAAUUCCUUCACAGAGCAUGCUCAUCUCUUAAACCCAGUUUGGUUUUGCUCGAACAAAAAUGCUGCAGUACCUCUACUGGCAGAGUAAGUAUGUCAACAAUAACAACAACUCAGUAUAAUCUCACUAGGAGGUAUGAAAAAGUUAGUGUGUAAGCAGAACUUAUCCCUGCCCUGAGUUAGAGAGGCUGUGUCCGAUAGAGCCUCGGCUGUCUCAUAAACUCUUUAUUGGAAUUGGAGGGCUCUCAUUACUAGAGCAACCCACUUCUUAUGUGAUAGUUGAUUUUGAUGGGAAUCAUAAUUUUGACUUUACAUUCAAUUUGGAUAGUUAUGUCUAUUUCAUACCUUCUAAAUGGGAGUUGAUUUACUUUUUUGGUUCCAAAGGCAAAGGGUUUUAUGUAUGUAACCCAAGUACUCAAGAAUUGGUUAAAUUACCCAAUACUCCUACUAGUUCUGCUACUUUGGACGGUACUGCGUUUGGAUAUAUAAAGGAGAGAAAUGAGUAUGUUUUGGUUAAUAAUUUCAUUGUGUGUGAAGUCAUGAGGUUGACUGAUGAUUGUUGUUUGAAAAAUCAUUCUUGGAUGGUUUUUGAUGAAAAAUGCCCGUAUAUGCUAACUGCUAAGCUGGUGUGGCGUUGUGGUUGAAAAUAAUUUUCAUUGGAUACAGGGACAAGUAUGAUAGCAUUGAAAAAAUAAUUUCAUUUGAUUUGGAAAAAGAGGACUUUGGUAGUUUGGUACAGUGGUGCUACCAAAGGGUACUUUUGAUGAUGACGGAAUUUGGUCUUUGUCGGACUUGAAGGGGAUGUUGUGGUUGUUUGGUUCACCUGAGGAUGUAUCUACCAUGGAUAUUUGGGUGUUGAAGGAUUCAAAGAGUUAUACGUGGGUUAAAGAGUACACUAUUGACCUAGCUUGACUUGGGGUUUAUCAAUAUUCUGGAUCAUAAGGAAGGGAAAAUUCUAAUGGAUGUUGAUUAUGAGAGUCUUGAGUGGUAUGAUAUGGACAACAAGAGCUUCACGAGAAUAGACAAGGUAAGGUCAGUAAAAUGGAGCUGGUCUGUACUUUACACUGAUGUCUUCACCUGCUAUUUAUGGUUGUCUCGUCAGCCAUACUGUUUCACCUUGUGCUUAGAGUAAAAUAGUUAAAUUUUUUUAUUAACCAAAUUAACAAUGGUCUGUCAUUUUACGGAGUUAUCUUGUGGUCUUUGGGAUGUAUCUCAACUACUUUGGUUGAACUAUUACAUUUACAAUGAUGUAGAAGACAUUCAUGUUAGGAUUAAUUUAUGAUUAUUGUUCUUAUCGUGUUAUGUCAUGCCAUUUGAUGAGGGAAUUCUAGUUAAACAUGGACGGGAUUAAUUUACCCUCUUGCUUUAUGUCAUGAAUUUUCUCAUUGUUCUCCCCCGACUUAGCUCUUUUCUUUUUAAAGUAAUAAUGCUUAUUAGCCUUAGAUAUUAUAUGAAGGUGAGCUUUGGAGCAUGUGUAAAAUUGUCUUGGUGUGAUCAAUAGGUCAUAGGUUUAGUCGUGAAAUUAGUCGUUGAUACUUGUGUUAGGAUAGAUCCUUCUCUCACGCAGGAUAUUCGUGCACUGACUACCCUUUUUUAGGCUUUGAUAUCAAGCAUUAUGUUCUAUUCUCAAGUAGUUCGGAUGUCAUAGAAAUUGACACCUCAAUGUUAACUAACAUCAUUGAUCAUUCCAGUAUGAAUAUUGAAUGCAUCAAUAAAUGGACGAAGUGCUUAUAUAGUGGGUGAAUAAAUAUUGAAGUUAUUUCCAUAAUAAAAUCUACUAAGAUGAAAAUAAGCUGCCGCUAAUGAAUGUACUCUCUCAUUUUGAUUGAUUGAUCGAUCUUAUAUUUUUUCUUUGGUUGUUGACGUUGAGUAUUGGUUCUAAAGUUGAGCAACAUUAAGCAAGAAGAGUUUACUACUUUUAUGGGAGGAGCUGAUGAGACAGUGGGCAACUGAAAAAUUCGAGAGGAGGAGUGAACAGGGAAAGAAGGCCCGAGCAUUUGAGAGAAUGAACAGGGAAAGAAGGCCCGAGCAUUUGAGAAGGGUGGCCCCUUGCACUCUGUGGGUGCAAGGAGCAUGGGGAUUGCGAGGAGACUACUGGGAAAAAAAUAUGAGAGGGAGAUGACUCGUGAUGAGUUCUUCAUGGAGACUCACACCCGGAAGAAGAAGGUAUCGACAGAUCCAACUAGAUGGGUCGAGGACCGGAUGAAGACUACAUAUAAGACUAAUGUGGAUGAGUACACUCAGAGCUUGCCACCGAACGAGCAACGAGAGCGACCACCCCUUUCAGACAAAGAAGCGCAGAAGAUAUGGUUGGAUGUUAUCGGUGGUCCUAAAACGGGGAUAGCAUACGACCUUCCAGAGAGAUAAUUUCGGCGCUAUAGGGCUGGAUUGCAAGGUAUAGGGACUUCCACCCAGGGCGAGGCAAUUGAUAGGUCGACUCUCUCGACUAUGGAGAAGAAGAUUACAAAGCUAACAUCAAAGCUUAAAGAGACAAAGACUAGAGAAUAAAAGAGAGAUAAACAAUUUGAUACCUUCGAGUUCAGCUAGAAAAGAGGGACCAACAAUUUAAUGUCCUCUAAGGUCAGCUGGCCAAUUUUCUUGCUAGUGGUGCUUUCCCGAUUCCCCGGUUUCGUGGUGCUUUCCCGAUUCCCCGGUUUCGUGAUCCUUCCCCAUAUGCUAAUCCUUCUCGUCGUAAUCCUUCGAACCAUGCCGACGAUGAGACUUUUAGUAGUGGAGACGGAGUUGAUGUAGUUCAAAACACUCAUUGAAUGAUGUUUGAACUUUUAACUUGUGAAACAUUUUGUUGUUGGGUAUGAUGUUUUGUUAAUAUAGUUUAGUGGAUAUGGAGAUGAUGUUUUGUUAAUAUAGUUUUAAUAGUUGUUAUUGUUGUUAUUGGUUGAAUGACAGCAAUGUAAUGCUGCCAUUAUAGGUGAUUGGUUGUU